rnacentral:lncRNA from 1 species
UGUUGGAUCUAGUUCUGAUGCUAUGAUUAUAGGCAGAGUUUCAGAUGGACCUAAACACACAUAUUUGAGGUGCUCAGGGAAUGUUUUGAGUUCUAGUUUCAGUACUUCCUCAAUCGAUGGUUUGGAUUUUGGUUCAGCCAGUCUAACAAGUGGUUCGAUAGGUGGUAGCCAUUGUGGAUGAACUCUCUGGUCAUAGGAUGUGGAUAGUUC